AAAAACACUACUUUAGACCAGUUAAUGUUACAUGUAUCCAGCCAUUACAUUUAAUUGCAUAUCUUUUGUCCAAGCCAUAUAAUUGACAAGAAAUUCUUUUCACAUGGAUUUCACCCAAGGCUUAAUUUAUUUUCUGCCUUGAUUAUACUGACCUUGCAGAAUAUCCAAAAUAUCAAAAUUAGAGGUCAGCGAUCUACUCUGGUUGAGACCACAAAUUUACUAUAAAAAUUUUGAAGCAAUGAGGAACUAAAGGAAUAUAUGUUUUUUCAUACUAUUAAAUGAUGAAACGUAUCUUUGUCUGGAGCUGUCAUUUUUGCUGCUUCUUAGUUUCCUUUUUAGCCUUUUUCCCCAUUCUACAAUGGUCUUUGUCUGCUUUCUUCCCCACAAACUCUGGACUGUUUUACACUUGACACUGUGGAUACGUGGCUCUUCAUUCAGCAGAGCAACGAAGGCAAAUGUUGGAGACCAGUUGAUUUUCUACCAGAAAUGAGCUGUAGCUUGGAAAAGCUAAAAGGAAAUAUGUUUUUUGCUCACUCCAUUUCAGAAAGCUGAGAGAAUGAAAUGGGCACAUGUCAGCCCAAAGACAGAAAGCAGAGAAGAAGUCACUGCAUGUGCAGAAGCAUGUCUAGAAGACAGCUGCUACAGAAAAGAGGGCAUUACAAAAAAGCAGGAAAAAACCCUUCAAAGUAAAUGAAAAGAAACAGACAGUUCUUCAAAACAAGAGAGGGAAUUAGAAAAAGAACAUUUGGAGAGGAAAAAGCAUUUGGAAUUUUUCUAAGAAGAAGGUACAAACUCAACUCUCAGAAGUAAGAAUCAGAUGAGGGAAGGUGAAGAUUAUUACAGGCACAAAGAACAGAAGUGCAAAGAGUUGGAGAAAGAUCAUUAAUCGUUCUGGGAAUCAGAAGCGUCCUGUGAUACGCAAAAUGAGGAGGUCCAAUGGGAAGAUAUAGAAGAGUUUUCAAAAGCUGAGUAAGAUUAGAGGAUUUGCAUUUUGAAUUACAAACAACAGCCUGUAAAGCACUUAUUGGAGACAGGGCAGGGGUAGAAACAGGGAGCGUAGGAGACUGUUGUAAUAAUGAGGUAUAGAGGAUAGGUAGCGACCACGAAGAGGAACAGAUGAUCUGAGAUACACUUUGGUGGUAGUACCAACAGUGUUAAUAGAUUGAAUGUGAAAAUUGAGGGUGAAGGGAGAACCAAGAAUGAUUCAAGGAUUUUAUCUGGAGUAACUGGGUGAGUAUCAUAUAAAAGGGGAAGACAGGCGGAAUGAUUUAGGAUGGACACGGAGAUGGUGGAAUCGAGAGUUCUGCUUUUGCUAUGCUAGACAUAAACUCGUCACAGGAGAGUCGGAUGGAUGAAGAGUCUCAUUUGUUUAAAAGGUCUCUCUCCAGUUGGAGUAAAACAAGAUGUUUAUGUUCCUGGUCCCAGAAUUCUGACCAAUCUUCUCAACAGAACUUUUGAUGAACUAAUGAAACGGUCUGAUAGUAAUACUACUAAACAAUAGUUAGGCUUCUGUGCACAGUUGGCAGUUACCCACAGGAAGAUAAAUUACUGGCUUGUAAGCAGAAAGAGUUCCCAAUAUGUGUACACCAUGUCAAAAGCGUCCUGUUAGUCUUUCUAUGAAUCAGGUUCCUUUCAGUUUGGGAUUAGAAAAAAUGGAUUUGUAUUUGGAGUUUUAUUACAAGUAUAGAUUUACAAUUGAAUUUAAAUGGUGGAAAUGGAAAAAACAAAGUUUUCUAAAAUAUAUUAGCUUAUAGGAAAGAGUGCCAGAAAGAAGAAAUAAAGACAAGUCAGCAACUUCCUUAGAGUUCCAGAGAAUAACCUUUGAAUUCAUACUAAUUAGCUUCAAAGAUCCUGGAAAAUUUGACCCCAGUGACUGCCCUGUUGAACUUUGCUAAGCACGAAUAGCUAUUUUCUUCUCUGGUUGGCUAGUAAGAACAUGACAAGCUAUUUGAAGAAUUUCUCAUUUACUAAGAAAUUUCCUUAUGGUACACAUGACAGCGCUGACUCAAUACCUUCAACAAACUCCCAGUUGUAUUUUUAUCAACCUUUUAAAAUAUUAUGCUUGCUGUUACCAAAACGAGACACACUAGGUCAUGUCAUUUGUUGCAUUUUAGGGUUAAUGUUCACUUCUGAUAGGACUUCUCUUUAUGAGUUUACUUGCAUUCUGGUAACAUGGAAAGUUUGUCUUAUAAAUCUGUCUCUAGAAUUACCUUUUCUCUCAGACCACAAGUUUAAGCAUAUUCCUCCAGCCUUGAACUUCAGGGGAAAUGAGCACACAGUACCAAUGGUAUAUCUAAUAAUGCCGAAGACAAUAGACAUUGAUUAUUUUAUUUUUUAGUUCAUAUUACUCCAAGAGAAGGAAUUUACCUCAUUCUCUCUAGUUUCUAUUUCCCACAGAGAUUAAAGUAAAGGUUAGUUGUUUUAUUGGAAAAAGACCACUGAAAAAUAUCAUUUACUCUGCUGGCCCACGGAUUUUCUCAGAAUGUUUAGUAGCAGAAACACAUAUCCUUAAGGAUUACAUUUAGUCAUGGUUGAAAAACUUAAAUAUGACAAAUUCUUAAUUUUGAAGACUGAGCGUUGACAGAAGGCCAACUACUUCAACUUCAAAGAUGAUGACAACAGCCAGUAUUAAUUAUUGCUAAAUAGAUUAGACAUAUCCCUUAUCCCAAGUGAGUCAUAGCUGCCUGGUAGGGGCUUUCUCAGGGAUGUUGUUGUGAACCAUCUAUUGGAUUCUUUCUUCUGAUUUGUCCCAGGGAACACAGUUAUAAUGACAAGAUUUUGAUCAGGGCAUCACCUAGCAGCCUCACUAGCUACUAGGUUCUAGUGCCCAUGGGUAAUCCACUUCACAAUUGAGACAGUAUUUUCUACUCUUAUCUGUGGAACAAAUUCACUCCAAAUGUAUAGUGUGGACUCUUUAUGCCUUUGAAAAAACUUACAAACUAAAUAUAAAUAUUUCUCUCUGGGCAAGAUUAGAUUCUGCUGAACUGGUAUCUGUAACUAUCCAGAGUCUGCACAGCUAUUAUCCCUAACGCACCAAGUAGUCAUAACUCAGUCGGCUCUGUGCUUUCUGAACCAAUCCUCAAGACCACUCCAUCAGUUUUUGUGUGUGGCUAGUGUUAGUUCCCAUUGCUUGCUAAAACUGCAUGCUUUUCACUGCAUCUAGGUCCCAAAGCAGUACGUACUGUCUGUUAAAUCUGCAGCGAGAUUUAAAGUAUUGGUUAUCAAUACUCCACAGUUGUUAUUGCUAAGGAAUGAGAUUAUUUUAUUGUCAGGCUGGUUCUCCUCCAGACCUCCACUGGCAAAAUGUGAAGGAGUUGCUAUAGAUUUCAGUGCUCUAGUGGUUUUUUUCUCUCUCUAAUCAACAUAACACUAUAUAACCCAUAACACCUCUAGAACUCUACCUGAUAUUUACAAUGCGAAAGCAGCCUUCUUAUUUUAAAAUAGCACCAGUAGCUCUUUUGAUUUUAUGAUUAACCUAGUCAGGAAACAUCAUAGAGAUCAGGAUAAGCUCUCACCCCUGAAACUUGACCCCUACGGACAUCUUCGUUUUCUGGGUAUUAGUAGUUAAGCACAUUCAGUGGGCUAGGCAGGUAAAUUAUUGAAUCUUCACUAUGUUCUGGGAAUUAAAAAGAUAAAAAAGACAGAUGUCUGGACUUUUGUUGGAGGAAAUUGGCAUGUAAACAAAACAAUUUCAAAUCUGUGUGUUAACUGCUGGGAGAGAGAUAUGUAAGAGGCACAGUGGGUUUCUGUUGUUGCUGUUUUUUGUUAUUUUGUUUUUAACAGAUGGAAUAAUCCAUUUUUGCCUGGGGACAGUGAAAGGACAGAGGAACGUCUCAUUAGAGAAGGUGUUUGACUUGGACCCUGAAGAAUUUUGCCAGGUGGAGAUAGAGAAAGACUCUAGCCAAGGAAAAGUUAAUUUGAAAAGGCAGAGAGUCAGAAGAAAGCAAACCCUUUUUUCCUUCAUGUUAGUAAAACUUCUCUUUCGGUGUGAUUUUAAUCUUUGGGGCAACAAAUGUCAUUUAGAACCCCCUAUUAGGAACACAGGUUGGGUGAUAAAGGGGAAGGAUACUGUUUGUGUGCUAAAAAAAUAAAAAUAAGUAUACUGAGAUUGAAUUUUAUGCCUGGAUCAAAACUUACUCUAAAGAGUACUUUUACGCCAGAAAAAAUAUAGAGUGGAUAUUUCUGAAGUAAGGAUAAAUUUCUGAGGGAGUGAAGGGUCACAACUUCUAUUUAUGCAUAAAUUUUAAAAAAUCAGAAAAGUCAUUUUAGUCCAGAAGAAACAUUCACUCAAAAAUUAUCCGAGAUAUUAUUAUUUUUAUAACUAUAACACGGUAGAUACAUAGUAAAUACCCAUUCGCUGGGAGAAAAUAAGUAGAUCAUAGUCUGGACGCUAUAUUGAUAAGAUAGUGUCAGCCAGCCGGAAGGAAGUGACACUUACUUCUCCAUCAUUAUAAGAAAAGAAGUAAUAUAAAAAGUUCCAUUCUUUUUAAUAUGAACUAGGUUCCUGAAGUUGUUGGUGUGUGGAGAACAAUGUGACUAUAUAAAAAUAAUUUUAUUAUUCAUCCUAAUUUCUACACCAAUAAGGGAAUUGUCAUUGCAUUGCUGUUAUAAUUAUAGCCUUUUUGAAAAGGCAAGGUAUUGAAAAGAACUAUAAUGUGAUGAAUAAAUGCCUGCAAAAAACCCAAAGAC